rnacentral:rRNA from 1 species
CGACGAGUUCUCGUUGAUGAUCGGUGCUUGCACCGAGAUUCAACAUGGAACGAGUGGCGGACGGGUGAGUAACACGUGGGUAACCUGCCCUUAAGUGGGGGAUAACAUUUGGAAACAGAUGCUAAUACCGCAUAGAUCCAAGAACCGCAUGGUUCUUGGCUGAAAGAUGGCGUAAGCUAUCGCUUUUGGAUGGACCCGCGGCGUAUUAGCUAGUUGGUGAGGUAAUGGCUCACCAAGGCGAUGAUACGUAGCCGAACUGAGAGGUUGAUCGGCCACAUUGGGACUGAGACACGGCCCAAACUCCUACGGGAGGCAGCAGUAGGGAAUCUUCCACAAUGGACGCAAGUCUGAUGGAGCAACGCCGCGUGAGUGAAGAAGGCUUUCGGGUCGUAAAACUCUGUUGUUGGAGAAGAAUGGUCGGCAGAGUAACUGUUGUCGGCGUGACGGUAUCCAACCAGAAAGCCACGGCUAACUACGUGCCAGCAGCCGCGGUAAUACGUAGGUGGCAAGCGUUAUCCGGAUUUAUUGGGCGUAAAGCGAGCGCAGGCGGUUUUUUAAGUCUGAUGUGAAAGCCCUCGGCUUAACCGAGGAAGCGCAUCGGAAACUGGGAAACUUGAGUGCAGAAGAGGACAGUGGAACUCCAUGUGUAGCGGUGAAAUGCGUAGAUAUAUGGAAGAACACCAGUGGCGAAGGCGGCUGUCUGGUCUGUAACUGACGCUGAGGCUCGAAAGCAUGGGUAGCGAACAGGAUUAGAUACCCUGGUAGUCCAUGCCGUAAACGAUGAAUGCUAGGUGUUGGAGGGUUUCCGCCCUUCAGUGCCGCAGCUAAC